rnacentral:rRNA from 1 species
GACGAACGCUGGCGGCGUGCUUAACACAUGCAAGUCGAACGCUGAAGACCUGGCUUUUGUUGGGUUGGAUGAGUGGCGAACGGGUGAGUAACACGUGAGUAACCUGCCCUCUUCUUUGGGAUAACGCCCGGAAACGGGUGCUAAUACUGGAUAUUCACUGAUCUUCGCAUGGGGGUUGGUGGAAAGGUUUGUUCUGGUGGGGGAUGGGCUCGCGGCCUAUCAGCUUGUUGGUGGGGUGAUGGCCUACCAAGGCUUUGACGGGUAGCCGGCCUGAGAGGGUGACCGGUCACGUUGGGACUGGGAUACGGGCCAGACGCCUACGGGAGGCAGCAGUGGGGAGUAUUGCACAAUGGGCGAAAGCCUGAUGCAGCGACGCCGCGUGAGGGAUGGAGGCCUGCGGGUUGUAAACCUCUUUCGCUCAUGGUCAAGCGGCAACUGUGGGUUGUGGUGAGGGUAGUGGGUAAAGAAGCGCCGGCUAACUACGUG